rnacentral:rRNA from 1 species
UCCCAGCGAUGUCGCAAGACCAAAGCUCCGGCGCCUCCGGAGGGGCCCAUGUAGUAUUAGCUAGUUGGUGGGGUAACGGCCCACCAAGGCAAAGAUGCUUAGCGGGUGUGAGAGCACGACCCGCGCCACUGGCAAUGAGACACUGGCCAGACACCCACGGGUGGCUGCAGAAUCG